AAUGUUUGACGCCGUUGACUUUUUUAAACAUGUUUGACCGUUCGUCUUAUUCAAAAAAUUUAAGCAAUUAUUAAUUCUUUUCCUAUCAUUUGAUUCAUUGUUAAAUAUACUACUAUUACUCAAGUUUUUGAAUAAUAUUCACAAAAAUUUUUGAAUAAGACGAACGGUCAAACAUGUUUAAAAAAGUCAAUGGCGUCAUACAUC
rfam:Oryza sativa (indica cultivar-group) chromosome 9, whole genome shotgun sequence.